GAUGAACGCUGGCGGCGUGCCUAAUACAUGCAAGUCGAACGCACUUCGGUUUUUGAUUGACGGUGCUUGCACCAGAUUGACGAGACAUUGAAGUGAGUGGCGAACGGGUGAGUAACACGUGGGUAACCUGCCCUAAAGUGGGGGAUAACAUUUGGAAACAGAUGCUAAUACCGCAUAACAACGAAAACCACAUGGUUUUCGCUUGAAAGAUGUUUUCGGCUAUCACUUUAGGAUGGACCCGCGGUGCAUUAGCUAGUUGGUAAGGUAACGGCUUACAAAGGCAAUGAUGCAGAGCCGGGCUGAGAGGCUGAUCGGCCACAUUGGGACUGAGACACGGCCCAGACUCCUACGGGAGGCAGCAGUAGGGAAUCUUCCACAAUGGGCGCAAGCCUGAUGGAGCAACGCCGCGUGAGUGAAGAAGGGUUUCGGCUCGUAAAACUCUGUUGUUAAAGAAGAACGUAUCUGAGAGUAACUAUUCAGAUAGUGACGGUAUUUAACCAGAAAGCCACGGCUAACUACGUGCCAGCCGCCGCAGUAAAAC
rnacentral:rRNA from 1 species